GGUCGACUAGCUCAGCUGGUUAGAGCGUGGUGCUAAUACAAGGUUGUUGCCCUUGACGCCAAGGUCUUGGGUUCGAUCCCCACGUUGACCA